UACGGAGGGAGCUAGCGUUGUUCGGAUAUACUGGGCGUAAAGGGCGCGUAGGCGGCCCGCUAAGUCGAACGUGAAAUCCCCAGGCUCAACCUGGGAACUGCGUCCGAUACUGGCAGGCUUGAAUCCGGGAGAGGGAUGUGGAAUUCCAGGUGUAGCGGUGAAAUGCGUAGAUAUCUGGAGGAACACCGGUGGCGAAGGCGGCGUUCUGGACUGCAACUGACACUGAGAAACGAAAGCCAGGGGAGCAAACGGG
rnacentral:rRNA from 1 species